GGGAAAAUGAGGGGGGAAAUUGGGAAAAAUGAUGAAAAAUGAGGGGGAAAUGUCAAAAAAUUGGAAAAAUGAGGGAAAAAUUGGAAUUGAGGAGAAAAAAAGAUGGAAAAUGAGGGGGAAAUUGGGAAAUGAGGGGGAAAAUUGGGAAAAAAAGAUGGAAAAUGAGGGAGAAAAUCUAAAAAAUGUGGGAAAAUUGGGGGGAAUUGAAAAAUGAGGGGGAAAAUUGGAAAAUGAGGAGGAAAUUUGACAAAUGAGGGGGAAAUUGGGAAAUGAGGAGGAAAAUGAGGUGGAAAAAUACCAAAAUUAAGUGGAAAAAUAUGAAAAUUAAGUGGAAAAAUACCAAAAUUAGGUGGGAAAAUUCAAAAAUUAGGUGGGAAAAUACCAAAAUUAAGUGGGAAAAUAUCAAAAUUAAGUUGAAAAAUACCAAAAUUUGGUGGGAAAAUACCAAAAUUAGGUGGAAAAAUACCAAAAUUAGGUGGAAAAAUUCCAAAAUUAGGUGGAAAAUAAUUGGAAUGAGGGGAAAAAAAAUGGGAUCGGGGGAAUUCCCAUCCGGACACGACAAAUUCGGGAUUUGGGGUGGGAUGAGUUUAUUUCCAAUGGAAUCAGAGCAGAAUUAAAAAAAAACCCCAAAAUCCAACUUUUCCCUCCCCCAAAUUCCCUCGUUCCCGGUUUUUCCAGCGGAGUUUUCCAUGGAUUUCUCCAUCCCACUGUGAGUUUUCCACGGAUUUCUCAUUUUUGGGAGUUUUCCAUGGAUUUCUCAUUUUUGGGAGUUUUCCGUGGAUUUCUCAGCAAUGGGAAAAGUCUUCCAUGGAUUUCUCGUUUUUGGAAGUUUUCCAUGGAUUUCUCAUUUUUGGGAGUUUUCUGUGGAUUUCUCGGCGAUGGGAAAGAGUUUUCCAUGGAUUUCUCAGCGAUGGGAAAGAGUUUUCCAUGGAUUUCUCAUUUAUGUGAAGGAGUUUUCCGCGGAUUUCUCCGAGACGUCGUUCCCGGGGUUGAUCCUUUGGGAAUUUCCUGCUCUGUGGGAUUCCUGCCAGGAACCUGCUCCUUUUUCCAUGGAUCCACAGCUCCUUGCCAAGGAAUUUUGGGAAUUUCCAGUCCAGCAGCUCGGAAUCGUCUCCGGAGUCGUUCCAGCCCCGGAGCUUCCCCGAAUUUGGCCACAAAAAGGCAAUUCUGAUGGGAAAAUAACGGGAUGGGACGGAGAAAAAAAUGAAAUGGGAGGAAAAAUAACGGGAUGA
rnacentral:lncRNA from 1 species